UACGUAGGGUGCGAGCGUUGCCCGGAUUUAUUGGGCGUAAAGGGCGCGUAGGCGGCCACGUGCGUCCGUUGUGAAAUCGCCCGGCUCAACUGGGCGGGGUCAGCGGAUACGGCGUGGCUGGAGCAAGCUAGGGGGCAAUGGAAUUCCCGGUGUAGUGGUGGAAUGCGUAGAUAUCGGGAGGAACACCAGUGGCGAAGGCGGUUACCUGGAGCUUUGCUGACGCUGAUGCGCGAAAGCGUGGGGAGCGAGUCCGG
rnacentral:rRNA from 1 species